rnacentral:lncRNA from 1 species
GGGAUAGAAAAGCAGGCAAUCAAUCACAAUACCAAACACUCAUUUACAAACACAAAGGGUUUAAAUACAACACUGGACUUUCUACAAAAUAGACCAGCUCGACAAAAGGGGAACUAUCCUACAACCGGGAUAGCAGGACACGCUCUCCAACCCUUAUGACUUCACGUCUGCAACUCCUCAAAGCCAACCAAAGCUAUCUGGUUGCUCCGUCCACCAGGGACCUGAAAUUUUGAUCCCACAACCGAGAUGAGACGAUGUCUCAGCAAGUUCAACCCCCUAAACCCCUAUUAGAAAGAAAAUACGCCCCGGGUGGCCUAGCCACAUCACACAGAGAACUUACCUCGCCUCAAUUUCUUCCUGCAGGUUAGCGCAAUUCAAAUCACUCAAUCACAAAUAAUAAUAGGAACUUAAACAACCGGAACGCAUUCACUUUCGUAUAACUAACAACUGCGGGGUCCUGAUUAUAAGACUAAAUCGUUAUGACACGUCCCAUUCCAUGCCACACAAUUCCGUCCCAUAAUCCGACACAUCAAAUUCACUCAACAUGCAUUCCAAUUGUUAUUCACUGCCACACAAGGGCAUAGCCUACUCGCAGUUCGGCUAUCUACUGGCAUAUAGCCAGGCAUCGCCUCCCCACCUUGGAGCGCGGCUUCGUCAGUACAUCGACGGCGUUCCCGAAGGAGCAUGGGCCCAGAAUCAACUGCGACCCGCAACCACCGCGUGGGCAUCCCAUAUAGGGGCAAGUCCGGCUCAACAGCCCAGGACGAUUCCUCUUAGUUAUCACACAGUCAAAGCAUACUCGGCCCUAGGACACUUUAUAUUUCAAUCAAUGCUUCCACUUAAAAUAGUGAUCCCGGCCAUUUUUCUCCAUAUUAAAAAUAUUCCAUAAAUUACUUACGUGUGUGGGGACACGCUAAUUUCGAAUCAAAAAGCCAAUAUCUCACUCUUUCAAACCCCACUAUUGAAUAUAAUAAUUAAAAUCCAAUUUUUGCAUCAAAACCCGACACUUGGGUUUUUAUGAAUAAAAUCUCUAUUUACCACAAUCAACACUCAAUUUGCCACAUACAUUCAUCAAAUUCAAAUUCUAAAUGCAUAGCAGGGAUCAGCACGAAAUUCUGAGAAUUUAGGGUCCCAAAAUAGUUUUUCGGAAUUUAUUAAAUAAUUAAAUUUAUUCCGAAAAUUUAUUUAAUAAUAAUAUUCAUAUUUUUCACAAUCCACAUUCAAUUUAUAAUAUACAAUGAUCAAUUUCAAAAUCUGACUACACAGCAGCGACCGGCACGAAAUUCUGAGAAUUUAGGGUCCCGACAAAAUUUUCGGAAUUUAAUAAAUAAUUAAAUUUAUUCCGAAAAUAAUUAAAUAAUAAUAUUUUAUUAAUUUCGAAUAAAAUAUAUUAUUAAAUUAUAUAAUAAUUUCGAGACAUUUAAAUAAAUCAAAAGUAAAUUCAUUUAAGUCAAACCAAGGCUUUUUUUAAAUAAACCUACUUACCCUUAAUUAAGCACACUUUAAAUUAAACCACAACCUUAAUCAAAUCUACUCUUAAUUAACCUAAACUAACAACCUAAUAAUACUUAACAUAAACUAAACCUCCCUAAGCAUAAUUAACCCUCUAAGCGAGGUUUAGUGAGUUAAACUCACCGGAUUAGCGAGCCGAGCGGACCAAAACGACGGGGACGACGCGAGGAUCGACUUUCCUCAAGGCGGGCCGAGCAUCCGAGCUCGGGAAGACGGCCAAAACGGGCCAAACAUGGGCUGCCAUACCCAUUUUCUGCAACUUCCGGUUGAGGCCGAGAAGAGGCGGAUC